UCUAUUUAAAUCUUAAGCAUUAAAGCUUAUACAUAACGAGUCGGGUAACCGACUACGGCAAUAAACUGAUAUAUGGAAUAAACGUAUCGGACCC
rnacentral:tmRNA from 1 species